rnacentral:rRNA from 1 species
UACGUAGGGUGCAAGCGUUGUCCGGAAUUAUUGGGCGUAAAGAGCUCGUAGGCGGCUUGUCGCGUCGACUGUGAAAACCCGUGGCUCAACCAUGCGGUCUGCAGUCGAUACGGGCAGGCUAGAGUUCGGUAGGGGAGACUGGAAUUCCUGGUGUAGCGGUGAAAUGCGCAGAUAUCAGGAGGAACACCGGUGGCGAAGGCGGGUCUCUGGGCCGAUACUGACGCUGAGGAGCGAAAGCGUGGGGAGCGAACAGG